GCAGUGAGCAGCAAUUUCCUAGCGGGGGCU
rnacentral:sRNA from 1 species